rnacentral:rRNA from 1 species
GGGGCGCGCAGUUCAGCGUAGCUUAGCAUGGCAAAGCGAGGCGAGGCGAGGUGAAGCCCAGAGCUGACCUGGUCUGAGCAUGCGUCCUAGCCUGAGACGAAACCCAAGCCCGAGCCAGCGAAACCGCUCCGUUUCCCCAAGCCCGAGCCAGCGAAGCAGCUCCUUUUCCUAUUCGUCCGUGCCUGCGCGUGGCGUGGCGUGGCGUGGGACGUGGAGGGCAGGAGGGCAGAGCGGGCUGCGGUGCCGGCCUGGGGCCUCUUAGGUGCGGCGCCGGCGAGCGCGAGGGCGAGGGUCCUCCGAGGGCGCCGGGCGGGCGGGCCGAGGGGCCGCCGGCAGGACGGGUGUCAUCCGCCUCCCGCCUCCGCGAGCGGCCGAGUGGCAGCUCGGUGUUGGCGCCUAGACAGGAGUUCGGCGUCUGCGGCUCCAUAAGCUGCGGCGCGUCCCCUAGUGCCCCGCGCAGAGCCCGAGCAAGGUCUACGGUUGCUGGAGUUAGAGGUUCGGAUUCGUCCAGACGCGGAGCGACCGCGGACCAUUGUACUGUGGUUGCCAGGCGUACCUCACGCCCGGCGUCUACGUCUGAUUUGCCUCGAUGCUACUUUAUCGAAUGGCCCCGCGCCCCAUACGUCUCUGACACCCGCUCAGUCCGUCGGGACAAACACGACCGAACCUUCCAAAGAGCCGCGCUUUUGCGUUCACGUAGUCGGAAUUAUGACUACCGAAACUACACUUCGCUCUCUAGAAACAGGGCAGAUUCUACAGCAGCAGACUCGCCGCGAUGGAAGCCUUCUCUAAGGCCCGUCUCGAACUAAGCCAAGCUCUUGAGGAGUUCUUCGGUCUCAAAAACAGGCAGUACGGACAGUCGUUUCGUGGGCGCAAGAGUAGCAGUCGACGGGGAGCUCGAUUUUUUCACGUUGCCCCCUCGGUACAACAGGCACCACGGUUCCCUGCGAAGAACGGCUGUUUUGGGGCCGGACUUUGCAGAUGUCACAACGGACUUCGAUGUUAAGAGUUCGUCACGCUUCGAUAAGACUUCUUCGACUACUGAGUCUUUACAUCAGUAUAAAAAUUACUAGGUCAUCUGCACCUUUUCGACUUGGAAGGUCUAAUAUUACUGUAAUAGUUCGUGGGCUACCUGGAACCCUGGUAGUUCUUCUUCGAUCUAAGACCAAGGAUGCGUUCAGGUAGACUAAAACGUCGACUACAGUCCGACUGAAAAUUGUUACGCUAUUGAAUAUUAGGAGCUCCCGUACAUCACGUACUAGACCGGUAAGUUGACUUAUUUUACAAACUCAGGUCUACCUCUUGUCAACUCUUCUUCAAUCGAUGACGGCGGUGAUUCGGUGUACAACUCCAACUAUUCCGGCUGAGUUUCUCCUCUUUCUGGGGAGGGCACCUUGCGUCAUUGAACAGUUAUCUGGCACAGUCCGGUUGACUCUAACACUUCGGUUUCUACUGUUUUCUCCUCUCUCUUUGGAACCCUCUGACGAAUUGAAGAAACCGGCUCCCAGGUCUUCUUAAUGGACCAGUGUAGUAACUAAACAAUGUCGUCACAUACCUCUUGUUAUGUCUCGUCGUACCCCUACCUCUCUAUCUCUAACUAUAGGUACGUGAGUCACUACUGCAUGAUAAACUUGACUUCUUCGUACACCUGUGCAUAAACGUUCUUUUUCUAGUAGUCGUCUGUUUUAGAGUCGGGAGACUCUUACUCCGACACUUACAAAGAACGGAGUCAGUGAGCAGGUGUUUAGGGACGUUUCCACGACUCGGACAACUCCUCCUACAGCUGUAAACGCCGUUACGUAGGGGAUAUAACUAUCUCUUCCUAGGUGUCUAGUCUUGACUGUUUACACCGUCGGGUUCAUCAAGGUCGUCACUGAGUCCUAGAAGUAGGUCGCUAAGACUGAGUCCGUCACUGUAACUUUCGCUUGGUCUUUUUCAACAAUCGGGUCGUUUCGAACGCUUCCCUGGUCUUGUUGGACGUCUCGUUCAGUUCUCACUACUACAAUAUUCGGGACAACUACGAUUGGUCUGACGACGACUACACCUUGAGGCACUCGUCCUGUUACUUAGGUUCCGACGUGGACUUCCCCUCUUACGUUUUGGGCUGUCCGUUGAGAGGGGCCUGUUCGAGAAUGCUCGUCGACAAAACUCCCCGGCAAUACGACUACAUUAACACUUUCGAGCACCCUAAGAGUCGGUCCCACCUCUAUUUGUCCUCCUCGACCUCUUUGACGUCUUCCUUCUCUUUCUUGCCGAAAACCGACUUCCGUUACGUCGAAACCUUCGGGCGUCUCGACUUCGACUUCGACUUAGAUUCGCAUUCGACCUCGAACUCUCCCUUUUCCGAGCAGUCCGGAACGUCCUCUACCUCUCUUGACAUCUUUAAUUACUGUAGCAGGUAGGGUUCCUGGAUCUUUACGAACCAUGUCAGUGGUGGCUUGUAUAACACUCAAGACAACUACUCUGCUCAGGGCUCGUAAGGGUCCUACCGGACGGGUCAAAAGAAGGACCAAGCCCGUCGUACAACCUUUUUGAACCUGACAAAUACUUUCACCUGCUCCUUCUUCUCCUUCUUCUCGGUACGUCGUUUCCACGUCUCCUGCCUCUUUAGUUGAUUACACACAACCGUACAACCUCGGAACACCAGUUUCUGUCUUGUUAGCGGACAAAGUCGGCUACGUGUAUCCCUUUAACGACCCAUCGACACGUGUACAGCCUGUAAAAAAAGAGCUUGCCACGUGUCUUAUGGGAGUUUAAACUCUCCACAACGAACGUCCUACGCGGGCGGGAACUUUCCCUUAACUUCCCUCCUAUCUCUAGCUCCGGUGGCACAUGUCGACGUUUACUUUUACCUCAAGUAGAGAGUUUACUUGAUAAAGAGGGUCUAGUUCCAUCAACCACGCCCGACAACAGCCCACAUAAGUACACUAUGCAUCUAGAGUACAUCUCGGAACCUUUAAUGUGCUCCUGGUUUACCAAGAGAGUGCGACGAGUGGAGGUACACGCGACACUAGGUUCACGCAAAAGGGAAUCACCGAUUCGUAUCGAAGAGAAGAAUCAAAACCUACAAACCAACGAAGAAGGACGACAUUUAAGUUUAAAACUACAUCGGCUCCUUCAACGAUCAACAAACGACCCGCAGACG